rnacentral:rRNA from 1 species
UGGGGAAUAUUGGACAAUGGGCGCAAGCCUGAUCCAGCCAUGCCGCGUGGGUGAAGAAGGHCUUCGGGUUGUAAAGCCCUUUUGUCCGGAACGAAAAGCUGCGGGUUAAUACCCCGUAGUGHUGACGGUACCGGAAGAAUAAGCACCGGCUAACUUCGUG